rnacentral:rRNA from 1 species
AUUGAACGCUGGCGGCAUGCCUUACACAUGCAAGUCGAACGGUAACGGGCCUUCGGGUGCCGACGAGUGGCGAACGGGUGAGUAAUACAUCGGAACGUGCCCGAUCGUGGGGGAUAACGAGGCGAAAGCUUUGCUAAUACCGCAUACGAUCUACGGAUGAAAGCAGGGGACCGCAAGGCCUUGCGCGGACGGAGCGGCCGAUGGCAGAUUAGGUAGUUGGUGGGAUAAAAGCUUACCAAGCCGACGAUCUGUAGCUGGUCUGAGAGGAUGAUCAGCCACACUGGGACUGAGACACGGCCCAGACUCCUACGGGAGGCAGCAGUGGGGAAUUUUGGACAAUGGGCGCAAGCCUGAUCCUGCCAUGCCGCGUGCAGGAUGAAGGCCUUCGGGUUGUAAACUGCUUUUGUACGGAACGAAAAGCCUUCUUUUAAUACAGGAGGGUCAUGACGGUACCGUAAGAAUAAGCACCGGCUAACUACGUG